UACGUAGGGUGCGAGCGUUUGUCCGGAAUUAUUGGGCGUUAAAAGAGCUCGUAGGCGGUUUGUCGCGUCUGCUGUGAAAACUCGGGGCUUAACUCCGGGCCUGCAGUGGGUACGGGCAGACUAGAGUGCGGUAGGGGGAGACUGGAAUCCUGGUGUAGCGGUGAAAUGCGCAGAUAUCAGGAGGAACACCGGUGGCGAAGGCGGGUCUCUGGGCCGUAACUGACGCUGAGGAGCGAAAGCGUGGGGGAGCGAACAGG
rnacentral:rRNA from 1 species